UACGGAGGGUGCAAGCGUUGUCCGGAUUUACUGGGUGUAAAGGGCGUGUAGGCGGGAAGAUAUGUCGGGAGUGAAAUCGUACGGCUUAACCGUAGCAAUUGCUUCCGAAACUGUUUUUCUUGAAUGCAGCAGAGGCAGAUGGAAUUCCAGGUGUAGCGGUGGAAUGCGUAGAUAUCUGGAAGAACACCAGUUGCGAAGGCGGUCUGCUGGGCUGUGAUUGACGCUGAGGCGCGAAAGUGUGGGGAGCAAACAGGAUUAGAUACCCUGGUAGUCCACACCAUAAACGAUGGUCACUAGUUGUCGGGGGAUUCGACCCCCUCGGCAACGACGCUAACGCAUUAAGUGACCCACCUGGGGAGUACGCUCGCAAGGGUGAA
rnacentral:rRNA from 1 species